rnacentral:lncRNA from 1 species
UUCUUCUUGUCACUGGGUCUUUUAAGUCAUUAUUGUGGAAUCACUGCAAUGUUGUAGAUCCAUCCUCAGUGUUCUACCGUCACAGACAUUAAACUCUGUAGCCGUUUUAAAACCAUCACUGGCCUCAUGGCGACAUCCCUGAGCAGUUUCCUUCCUGUCCUGCAGCUCAGUUCAGAAGGACGUCUGUAUCUUUCAUCUGUCUGGGUGCUUUAAUAUAUAAUCCACAGCAUAAUGAUUAACUUGACUAUGCUUAAAGAGAUAUUCAAUGUCUGAUUUUUUUUUUUUUUAAUCUACCAAUCACCUCUCUUCUUUAUGAGGCUUUUGAAAAGCUCCCUGGUCUUUGCAGUUCAAUCUGUCCUUGAAAUUCAAUAUUUGACUGAGGGACCUUACAGAUGUUGUAUAUAUGUGGGACAGAGGAAAAGAAAGUCAAUCAAAAAUCAUGUCAAUCCCUAUUAUUUCACACAGGGUGAGUCCAUGUAAAUUAGUAUGCGAUUUGUUAAGGCACAUUUCACUCCUGAACUAAUCACACUGAAACAAAGGGGCUGAAUACUUAUGCAACUACUAAACACUGAGUGGACAAAAAAUUAGGAACACUAGCUUUUUCCAUGACAUAGACUGACCAGGUGAAUCCAGGUGAAAGCUAUGAUCCCUUAUUGAUGUCACUUGUUAAAUCCACUUCAAUCAGUGUAGAUGAAGGGGAGGAGACAGGUUAAAGAAGGAUUUAUAAGCCUUGAGUCAAUUGAGACAUGGAUUGUGUAUGUGUGUCAUUCAGAGGGUGAAUGGGCAAGACAAAAUAUUUAUGUGCCUUUGAACGGGGGGAUGGUAAAAGGUGCCAGGCGCACCGGUUUGAGUCAAGAACUGUAAAGCUGCUGGGGUUUUCACUCUCAACAGUUUCCUCUGUGUAUCAAGAAUGGUCCACCACCCAAAGGACAUCCUGGGGCAAUAUUGGAUGAAUCACAAUAAUUGUUCGCUAAAAUAAUAAUUGCUUGACAAAAAUGUAAUUAUUGUUAUGGCAAUCCUUGUUAGAAGUAACAAUCCUGGUUAGAAGUAACAAUCCUGGUUAAAGGUAACAAUCCUGGUUAAAGGUAACAAUCCUUGUUAGAGGUUAGAGGAAACAAUCCUGGUUAGAGGAAACAAUCCUGGUUAGAGGUAACAAUCCUGGUUAGAGGUACCAGUCCUGGUUAAAGGUAACAGUCCUGGUUAAAGGUAACAGUCCUGGUUAGAGGAAACAAUCCUGGUUAGAGGUACCAGUCCUGGUUAAAGGUAACA